rnacentral:tRNA from 1 species
GCUUGGAUGGUGAAAUUGGUAGACACAAGGGACUUAAAAUCCCUUGGCUGGUGACAGCCGUGCGGGUUCGAGUCCCGCUCCGAGCA